rnacentral:rRNA from 1 species
CCUACGGGUGGCAGCAGUGGGGAAUAUUGGACAAUGGGGGGAACCCUGAUCCAGCCAUGCCGCGUGUGUGAAGAAGGCCCUCGGGUUGUAAAGCACUUUCAGUGAGGAAGAACGCCUGGUGGUUAAUACCCAUCAGGAAAGACAUCACUCACAGAAGAAGCACCGGCUAACUCCGUGCCAGCAGCCGCGGUAAUACGGAGGGUGCGAGCGUUAAUCGGAAUUACUGGGCGUAAAGCGCGCGUAGGUGGCUUGAUAAGCCGGUUGUGAAAGCCCCGGGCUCAACCUGGGAACGGCAUCCGGAACUGUCAAGCUAGAGUGCAGGAGAGGAAGGUAGAAUUCCCGGUGUAGCGGUGAAAUGCGUAGAGAUCGGGAGGAAUACCAGUGGCGAAGGCGGCCUUCUGGACUGACACUGACACUGAGGUGCGAAAGCGUGGGUAGCAAACAGGAUUAGCUACCCUUGUAGUC